GUAGAAAUGGCAGAUAAGUGCGCUAGAUUUAAGCUCUAGAUAUGAAGAUCAUGUCUUCUUUUUACG
rnacentral:tRNA from 1 species